rnacentral:tRNA from 1 species
UGACUGAGUGGUAAAGUGCUUGGCUUCCAAACUGGGGGUCCGGGUUCGAAUCCUGG